UCGGGAAUUUUGGGCAAUGGGCGGAAGCCUGACCCAGCAACGCCGCGUGAAGGAUGAAGUAUUUCGGUAUGUAAACUUCGAAAGAAUAGGAAGAAUAAAUGACGGUACUAUUUAUAAGGUCCGGCUAACUACGUGCCAGCAGCCGCGGUAAUACGUAGGGACCAAGCGUUGUUCGGAUUUACUGGGCGUAAAGGGCGCGUAGGCGGCAAUUCAAGUCAUCUGUGAAAUCUCCGGGCUUAACUCGGAACGGUCAGAUGAUACUGCUUUGCUAGAGUGCAGAAGGGGCAAUCGGAAUUCUUGGUGUAGCGGUGAAAUGCGUAGAUAUCAAGAGGAACACCUGAGGUGAAGACGGGUUGCUGGGCUGACACUGACGCUGAGGCGCGAAAGCCAGGGGAGCAAACGGGGAUUAGAUACCCAAGUAGUCCCUGAGCGGGCUGGCAAGGCGCAU
rnacentral:rRNA from 1 species